rnacentral:rRNA from 1 species
AGUCGAACGAUAGUUGAGAGCUUGCUCUUGACGAAAGUGGCGCACGGGUGCGUAACGCGUAUGCAACCUACCUUAAUCAGGGGGAUAGCCCGAAGAAAUUCGGAUUAACACCGCAUAAAAACACAGGAUAGCAUUAUCCAAUGUUCAAAUAUUUAUAGGAUUAAGAUGGGCAUGCGUGUCAUUAGCUAGUUGGCGGGGUAACGGCCCACCAAGGCGACGAUGACUAGGGGAUCUGAGAGGAUGACCCCCCACACUGGUACUGAGACACGGACCAGACUCCUACGGGAGGCAGCAGUAAGGAAUAUUGGUCAAUGGAGGCAACUCUGAACCAGCCAUGCCGCGUGCAGGAAGACAGCCCUCUGGGUCGUAAACUGCUUUUAUUCGGGAAUAAACCUCAUUACGUGUAAUGAGCUGAAUGUACCGAAGGAAUAAGGAUCGGCUAACUCCGUGCCAGCAGCCGCGGUAAUACGGAGGAUCCAAGCGUUAUCCGGAUUUAUUGGGUUUAAAGGGUGCGUAGGCGGCUUAUUAAGUCAGGGGUGAAAGACGGUGGCUCAACCAUCGCAGUGCCCUUGAUACUGAUGAGCUUGAAUGAACUAGAGGUAGGCGGAAUGUGACAAGUAGCGGUGAAAUGCAUAGAUAUGUCACAGAACACCGAUUGCGAAGGCAGCUUACUAUGGUUUUAUUGACGCUGAGGCACGAAAGCGUGGGGAUCAAACAGGAUUAGAUACCCUGGUAGUCCACGCCCUAAACGAUGAAUACUCGCUGUUAGCGAUAUACAGUUAGCGGCUAAGCGAAAGCGUUAAGUAUUCCACCUGGGGAGUACGCCCGCAAGGGUGAAACUCAAAGGAAUUGACGGGGGCCCGCACAAGCGGAGGAGCAUGUGGUUUAAUUCGAUGAUACGCGAGGAACCUUACCCGGGCUUGAAAGUUAGUGAAUUAUCUAGAGAUAGAUAAGUGAGCAAUCACACGAAACUAGGUGCUGCAUGGCUGUCGUCAGCUCGUGCCGUGAGGUGUUGGGUUAAGUCCCGCAACGAGCGCAACCCCUAUGUUUAGUUGCCAGCAUGUAAUGGUGGGGACUCUAAACAGACUGCCUGUGCAAACAGAGAGGAAGGAGGGGACGACGUCAAGUCAUCAUGGCCCUUACGUCCGGGGCUACACACGUGCUACAAUGGAUGGUACAGAGGGCAGCUAGCUGGUAACAGCAUGCGAAUCUCAUAAAGCCAUUCACAGUUCGGAUAGAGGUCUGCAACUCGACCUCUUGAAGUUGGAUUCGCUAGUAAUCGCGUAUCAGCAAUGACGCGGUGAAUACGUUCCCGGGCCUUGUACACACCGCCCGUCAAGCCAUGGAAGUUGGGGGUACCUAAAGU